UUUCUGCUGACUAACCCCCCCCCCACACAGCUACGCACACACACUGGGCACCAACAGAAGGUGAUGGGAGGAAGAAGGGAGGAGAAGGUGAGCUGCUGCUGCUGACGUUACUCGGCUCACAGGACUUGCCCGUAAAUGAACUCAUUUUUCAUCCUGUCUCUCUCCCUCCUCCCUCUCCUGUUAAUGACUGGCACUUUCCUCGUACGGAGCGCCGGCCCUCUGAAGAGCCUGGCGAGUGACAGAGCACCAUUCAUCUCCUCAUGGCGGAGGACAGUAGGGGGGGCCCGCUGAGGUGAGAGCCACGAUGAGACACAGAAUAUUCUACCAGGAGUUGGUGGGCCGUGUCAGAGGGAAAGAGUAAACCCCAGGAGCAUGAGGGGACAGGAAAGCGGUAUCAAUCACACAACCUUGUGCACGGCUGUAGCAGCAGUUUCAAUUAUGCAUCUGUUCCUCAGUGGCUGACAUUUUGUUCAACCUCUUACCCCCACCGAGGCAGAGAGGAAGUGCCCUGCCUGUUAUCUUCCCCCAAGUGCUUAAUUUAACUGUUAAAGCAUACCUGUCGCCAUUUACCUUAACUUUACAGUAUAUACUAUCUGCACAGACGGAACGUGAGCUUAAUCAUUGUCUGCAAAAGCUCAAUCACAGUUGCAGCCUAUGGCUACAACCAGCACUUGGCAGCAACUCAUGAUUUUCACUAUCAAAUCCUUUUCUAAUUAUUUUCAUGGUUAACUUGGUCCAGAAAAGUUUACAACCCCAUGAUAAUUUCCUAAAGUUGGAGGUGAUGUCAUGAAAUUGCUUGUCUGAAAAUAGAAGUUGUUUGUUUGGUGUAGAAAAUAAAAAGUAAAGAAGGGCAGUAUAUUUAGUAGCUUAAACAUGCAAAUCUUUAGCAACUGCUUGAAUAUAUUAUGUUUUGAGCAAAUAGACAAAACUAUUUAUUUUUUUAUUUUAACUUAAUUUAACUUAACUUAAUUUUAAUAAAUUGAUGUUUCAGAUACAGAUUAGAAGAACAAAAACCCCAUAUUUAAAAAUACAAAUGAAGUCAAUAGAGAAAAGGACAAUGAGUGCCAGAGUAACAAAAUAUGAGAUGUAAAAAAGCUAAUAUUUAAGUUGACUAACACACUGUGAUACUAAACCCAGAAAUAAAGUUCAGUCCAACUAUCUCUUACCUCGUAAUGCCACAGGCAGGCUCUGAAAUCCACCAAGGCUGGAGAGGAGUGUGAGCCCGAUACAGUGCAGGGAACAGAUAAACAGAUGCGAGACAAGUCCCAGGGGUGUCGGGUUCAUUUGUUACCUAGGGAGGACAGACGUAUUUCUGUCAGACAAGCCAUGGCAGCUCCAGAUGCCAGGUCAUUCUAGUUAUGGAGUGAAAAUCUUGGGUUAAGGACAAAUAUUCUCACUUCACACAAGAGACAGCCAUGGGGUUUUAUUUCCCCAGUGGCCCUCUACAAUAAACGCCCAUUCUGGCUCCAAGAAGCUUGAGCGCUUUUUUAAUAAAAACUGAAGCUUAUUCAUCAUGGUCUGUCUCUUGUUCAUUUACUUCAGAAUUAUGGCAGAGCAUUUAAUUUCAUGAUGUAUUCAGUACAUUUAAUGUUUGAUUUUAGCGAUCAUGAUUAAAAGGCUGUUUGCAACAUGUAUUAUUAAUUUUGGUUGUGGUUGAUUCAAGUCAUGCUAAAUUAUGCUGUUCAAAUUACAACUUGAAUUGAGGUAAUGUUAUGUCAAAUUUUGGGCAUUUUAUUACACAAAAACAUAGAUUACAACGUUGUUAUUUAAUCAUUUAUUUCAUUUAUUUUAUGUGGCCAUGACUUAAUUCCAAACACCUAAGGAUAUUAACCGGUUAGAAAAGUUUGAAAUUGCAAAAGAUGCAUCUAAUUUUUUUGUGUUUUAUGAUUUUUGUUCCUAGAUAUUCUUC